GGAACCAGUCUGUUGUUCCAUGUCCAAUUCUAACUGUUGCUUCUUGACCUUUAUAGAGGUUUCUCAAGAGGCAGGUAAGGUCCAUCUAAUAUCUCUGAAGGGUCAAAAGGAAUGUCACACUAUUAUCACAAGUCAGUUCUAUCCAUUUCUCAUAACUCUGCCUGAAGUUCUGCCAUCAAUGACAUAUUUCCAUCAUUCCAGUAUGAAGUCAAAAGGGCUCUUACUCCUGGAGUCAUUAGCUCUUUAAAAGGGUCACAGAAGGACUUCUUGGGAUACAGCCUCCCUAUUUCUGUGUGCAUAUGUGCUCAGUCACAUGUGCAUAUGUGAACUCUGCGACUCCAUGGGCAACAGCCUACGAGACUCCUCUGUCCACGGAAUUUUCCAGGCAAGAAUGCUGGAGUGGUUGCCAUUUCCUUCUCCAGGGGAUCUUNNNNNNNNNNNNNNNNNNNNNNNNUCUCCUGCAUUGGCAGGCAGAUUCUUUACCACUGUGCCACUUGGGAAGCUCCUCUCCCCCCAGAUCUGAGGACAUGUAAAAACCAACACUGGUACCUAGAACCAUUCAGCCCUCAGGCCUUGAUGAGUGUCCAAUUUACACUCCUUUGCUCAAAGUGGUUUAUACCCCAGGUCACACAAUCCCAUGAAAUUUGGAUUGCCAUGUCUUUCUAUUCCACUUGUGGUGGUGGUUUAGUCACUAAGUCGUGUCUGACUCUUGCAACCCCCUGGACUGUAGCCCGCCAGACUCCUCUGUCCAUGGAAUUCUCCAGGCAAGAAUAUUCUCGGAAUACCACUGGAAGUGGGUAUUCCACUUAUGUGAGUAUCUAAAUAUGAACCUAAAUAUGAAAAAUAAAGUUCUUUUUCCAGGGAACUCCUCAGCCUCUGUGUAAUCAGCUGACUAAAACAAACAAGGGUAAGACAUUCCAGUUUUCAUAUGCCCAUCUCCACUUAGGCUGGAUGGAGAAACACGCUGCAAUGGUUAAACUCAGUGCCCACUCCACCACAGGCUAGAGUGCAGUAGGCAGUUAUGGAGCCAGAUAGCCUGGAUUCAAACCCCACCUCCUAUUUCUGCAGCAUGGACUCUGGGGCACACUACUUAGCCUCUUGUUCCCUCUGAUGCUGACCCAGUAAACAGAGAUAAAGCCAUAGUCUGUUUAUCAAAACUCCUUGGGCCCAGAUGCAAUUCAAAAUUCAGAAAAUUUUCUAGACUUUGGAAAGGUAAAAAUACAUAUCACAUAGAGUCUGGGUCAGUACACUGUAACCAAAUGCUUUACUACUUCUGCACCAAACCAUGGAUAUUUACACUAGUUAGGAUAAAGACAGUUCUAAUGAGGUGGAUGAAACUGGAGCCUAUUAUACAGAGGAAAGAAAAACACCAAUAUAGUAUACUAAUGCAUGUAUAUGGGAUUUAAAACGAUGGUAACGAUAACCCUGUAUGCGAGACAGCAAAAGAGACACAGA
rnacentral:lncRNA from 1 species